UAAUACGAAGGGGGCUAGCGUUGCUCGGAAUCACUGGGCGUAAAGCGCACGUAGGCGGCUUUCUAAGUCAGGGGUGAAAUCCUGGAGCUCAACUCCAGAACUGCCUUUGAUACUGGAGAGCUUGAGUCCGGGAGAGGUGAGUGGAACUCCGAGUGUAGAGGUGAAAUUCGUAGAUAUUCGGAAGAACACCAGUGGCGAAGGCGGCUCACUGGCCCGGUACUGACGCUGAUGUGCGAAAGCGUGGGGAGCAAACAGGAUUAGAUACCCUGGUAGUCCACGCCGUAAACGAUGGAUGCUAGCCGUUGGCGGGUUUACCCGUCAGUGGCGCAGCUAACGCAUUAAGCAUCCCGCCUGGGGAGUACGGUCGCAAGAUUA
rnacentral:rRNA from 1 species